CUCGGAGGGAUCAUUACCGAGUUUACAACUCCCAAACCCAAUGUGAACGUUACCAAACUGUUGCCUCGGCGGGGUCACGCCCCGGGUGCGUCGCAGCCCCGGAACCAGGCGCCCGCCGGAGGAACCAACCAAACUCUUUCUGUAGUCCCCUCGCGGACGUAUUUCUUACAGCUCUGAGCAAAAAUUCAAAAUGAAUCAAAACUUUCAACAACGGAUCUCUUGGUUCUGGCAUCGAUGAAGAACGCAGCGAAAUGCGAUAAGUAAUGUGAAUUGCAGAAUUCAGUGAAUCAUCGAAUCUUUGAACGCACAUUGCGCCCGCCAGUAUUCUGGCGGGCAUGCCUGUCCGAGCGUCAUUUCAACCCUCGAACCCCUCCGGGGGAUCGGCGUUGGGGAUCGGGACCCCUCACACGGGUGCCGGCCCCUAAAUACAGUGGCGGUCUCGCCGCAGCCUCUCCUGCGCAGUAGUUUGCACAACUCGCACCGGGAGCGCGGCGCGUCCACGUCCGUAAAACACCCAACUUUCUGAAAUGUUGACCUCGGAUCAGGUAGGAAUACCCGCUGAACUUAAGCUA
rnacentral:rRNA from 1 species